rnacentral:miRNA from 1 species
CAGACAGGGUGUACAUGACCUU